CAGGCAGACAGAUAGACAUCGAGCGAAAGAGGGGGGGGGAGACCCUGGCAGGCUAGUUCUUGUAUGGCUCGCUCCAGAGCAGCUCACAGACAGCUCUUGCAAGUGGGAGUAUGGGAACAGGGCUGCAGUCCUGUCCAUGGAGAGUCAGCCUUCAUUCCACCUCACUGGCAUCGGGCUGGUGGGUUUUGCAGACUUUCCAAACAUGGCUUCCAGCACAGUAACAAUUGGAGUGGUUUCAUCUGUGGAAAUACAUCCACAUUUGUGGAGUCAUUCGGUCCAUUUAGAGAGUCAUUAUCAUCAUGCUGACAAAGGAGUCGAGCAGCUGAAAACAUCGCCUUUGUCAUCGGCUCUACAACCCUCAGGGAUGGCCUCCUCUAAGACACCAUGAUUGCUGCAGCUUUUAAUUGCAGUGAAAUUACUGAACAUCUUGCUGAAGACAUGCUGAGCCACUGUGAGAAAAUUGUCAAGAUGUUGAAAAUGUUUGAUGAACAAUCUGCAUUACAUUAUAUACAAAGGUUUAUUUGUCUUGAUCAUGCCAAACGACAGAGGAGUUUCCUGAAACAUGACAGACAUAUAAAACUCACAUGCUCACAUUCCUACUUUGUUUGAGUGAGUGGACACACACUGAUGUUCUCACAUCACACAGGCUUGCACUGUGGAGAACCGACUUUCAGUAACUACAAUCAGAUGGCUCCUGCGAAACAGAACAACAGCAUUACG